UUGGCUUGUUUCUGGUGGUUGGCUCUCUGCUCGCGCAACAACUUCCACCCGGCAUGCCUCUUCAGUUACGUGUCAAGGAUGUAUCGUCUUUGACCACAUUCUGGGUUUUCUGUGUUGAGUACCUAGUUUGAUGGUAUCGUUUGGACCCAUCAUCGUAUUGUUUCGUCUUACGCCGCAAAUGUGGUGUGGGAUGAACGUUGAAGCAUUCUCAUUGUUCCACCUUGUUGACACACACGUGUUGACGUUGUGGCCCAUUGAGCAUUGCUUGGUUUUGUGGAUACAGAAGAUGGUGUGGGCAUGGGGUCAUACGUGAUCCUUGUUUUGUCCAGUUGAGCGUUAUUGUUUUUCAAUCAUGACUGCCUAGACCGAAUCGGCUCGUACCAUCGGGUGGGAUGUGUUGUUGUGAGAUGAUGAUAGCGCUCUUCCUUCUCUAAAACGACUGUCUAGCCCGUAUUGGCUUGUACCAGCGGGUUGGCUAUGUCGAAGAGGGAUGCUACCUGGUUGAUCCUGCCAGUAGUCAUAUGCUUGUCUCAA
rnacentral:misc_RNA from 1 species